rnacentral:rRNA from 1 species
CUACGUGCCAGCAGCCGCGGUAAUACGGAAGGUCCGGGCGUUAUCCGGAUUUAUUGGGUUUAAAGGGAGCGUAGGCCGGAGAUUAAGUGUGUUGUGAAAUGUAGACGCUCAACGUCUGACUUGCAGCGCAUACUGGUUUCCUUGAGUACGCACAACGUUGGCGGAAUUCGUCGUGUAGCGGUGAAAUGCUUAGAUAUGACGAAGAACUCCGAUUGCGAAGGCAGCUGACGGGAGCGCAACUGACGCUUAAGCUCGAAGGUGCGGGUAUCGAACAGGAUUAGAUACCCUGGUAGUCCGCACAGUAAACGAUGGAUGCCCGCUGUUGGUACCUGGUAUCAGCGGCUAAGCGAAAGCAUUAAGCAUCCCACCUGGGGAGUACGCCGGCAACGGUGAAACUCAAAGGAAUUGACGGGGGCCCGCACAAGCGGAGGAACAUGUGGUUUAAUUCGAUGAUACGCGAGGAACCUUACCCGGACUUGAA